rnacentral:tRNA from 1 species
GUUCUCGUGGUGUAGUGGUUAUCAUACUCUCUUAGGGUGAUCUAACAUCUUGAGCUUUGCCUCCAACGUCUUGCGGCGCGAUUGGGAGUGGCCCCGGGUUCAAAUCCCGGCGAGGACC